AAUUUUGGACAAUGGGCGCAAGCCUGAUCCAGCCAUGCCGCGUGAGUGAAGAAGGCCUUCGGGCUGUAAAACUCUUUCUGACGGAAAGAAAUCGCUCAGGAUAAUACCCUGCGCGGAUGCAGGUACAGACAUAAGAAUCACCGGCUAACUACGUGCCAGCAUCCGCGGUAAUACGUAGUGUUCGAGAGUUAAUCGGAAUUACUGGGCGUAACGCGAGCGCAGGUGGUUGAUUAAGACAGGCGUGAAAACCCCGGGCUCAACCUGGGAACUGCGCUUGUGACUGGUCAGCUAGAGUACGGCAGAGGGGGGUGGAAUUCCACGUGUAGCAGUGAAAUGCGUAGAGAUGUAGAGGAACACCGAUGGCGAAGGCAGCUACCUGGGCCGAUACUGACGCUCAUGCACGAAAGCGUGGGUAGCAAACAGG
rnacentral:rRNA from 1 species